UAUUUUAUCUUUUCUGUACUUUUACGCAGGUGUCACUCCAUCCUUAUUUUUGGACGUUCCAGAGACAUCAGAUAGCAAUGGUCGUCUGCGUAUUACUGGAGAAUUUGGUGAUGUAGAGGGUGUAUACGUAAUUAACAAAACGAAAGAAAUUCACCUGCGAAAACAAAAUAUAAUUAUAUUUCUUCAAACAGACAAGCCAAUAUACAAACCCGGACAAACAGUUAAGUUUCGAGUUUUGCCCGUUUUAAACACUCAGCUGAAGCCUAUUGGUGGUAAAGAGCAAGGAAAAAUAUGGAUUGAAGAUCCAAAAAGAAUACGUGUGGCCCAGUGGUUAAAUGUAUCAUUUGCUGAUCGUA